rnacentral:rRNA from 1 species
GACGAACGCUGGCGGCGUGCCUAAUACAUGCAAGUCGAACGAACUCUGGUAUUGAUUGGUGCUUGCAUCAUGAUUUACAUUUGAGUGAGUGGCGAACUGGUGAGUAACACGUGGGAAACCUGCCCAGAAGCGGGGGAUAACACCUGGAAACAGAUGCUAAUACCGCAUAACAACUUGGACCGCAUGGUCCGAGCUUGAAAGAUGGCUUCGGCUAUCACUUUUGGAUGGUCCCGCGGCGUAUUAGCUAGAUGGUGGGGUAACGGCUCACCAUGGCAAUGAUACGUAGCCGACCUGAGAGGGUAAUCGGCCACAUUGGGACUGAGACACGGCCCAAACUCCUACGGGAGGCAGCAGUAGGGAAUCUUCCACAAUGGACGAAAGUCUGAUGGAGCAACGCCGCGUGAGUGAAGAAGGGUUUCGGCUCGUAAAACUCUGUUGUUAAAGAAGAACAUAUCUGAGAGUAACUGUUCAGGUAUUGACGGUAUUUAACCAGAAAGCCACGGCUAACUACGUGCCAGCAGCCGCGGUAAUACGUAGGUGGCAAGCGUUGUCCGGAUUUAUUGGGCGUAAAGCGAGCGCAGGCGGUUUUUUAAGUCUGAUGUGAAAGCCUUCGGCUUAACCGAAGAAGUGCAUCGGAAACUGGGAAACUUGAGUGCAGAAGAGGACAGUGGAACUCCAUGUGUAGCGGUGAAAUGCGUAGAUAUAUGGAAGAACACCAGUGGCGAAGGCGGCUGUCUGGUCUGUAACUGACGCUGAGGCUCGAAAGUAUGGGUAGCAAACAGGAUUAGAUACCCUGGUAGUCCAUACCGUAAACGAUGAAUGCUAAGUGUUGGAGGGUUUCCGCCCUUCAGUGCUGCAGCUAACGCAUUAAGCAUUCCGCCUGGGGAGUACGGCCGCAAGGCUGAAACUCAAAGGAAUUGACGGGGGCCCGCACAAGCGGUGGAGCAUGUGGUUUAAUUCGAAGCUACGCGAAGAACCUUACCAGGUCUUGACAUACUAUGCAAAUCUAAGAGAUUAGACGUUCCCUUCGGGGACAUGGAUACAGGUGGUGCAUGGUUGUCGUCAGCUCGUGUCGUGAGAUGUUGGGUUAAGUCCCGCAACGAGCGCAACCCUUAUUAUCAGUUGCCAGCAUUAAGUUGGGCACUCUGGUGAGACUGCCGGUGACAAACCGGAGGAAGGUGGGGAUGACGUCAAAUCAUCAUGCCCCUUAUGACCUGGGCUACACACGUGCUACAAUGGAUGGUACAACGAGUUGCGAACUCGCGAGAGUAAGCUAAUCUCUUAAAGCCAUUCUCAGUUCGGAUUGUAGGCUGCAACUCGCCUACAUGAAGUCGGAAUCGCUAGUAAUCGCGGAUCAGCAUGCCGCGGUGAAUACGUUCCCGGGCCUUGUACACACCGCCCGUCACACCAUGAGAGUUUGUAACACCCAAAGUCGGUGGGGUAACCUUUUAGGAACCAGCCGCCUAAGGUGGGACAGAUGAUCAGGGUG